rnacentral:misc_RNA from 1 species
UCAUUACAACAACAAUACAACUUUGUGUCUGAACAAUAACUUCAAGUACCGAUCAUCAAAUUGUUAAAACAAAACUUUCAACAACGGAUCUCUAGGUUCUCGCAUCGAUGAAGAACGCAGCGAAAUGCGAUACGUAGUACGAAACGCAAGUCGUGAAUCAUCGAAUCUUUGAACGCACAUUGCGCUGUGUGGCAUUCCGCACAGCAUGCCUGUUUGAGCAAUAUUUCUCUCUCGCAAGGUGUUGGGCACCACGCCGGCAGGCGUCUGCCCGAAACGCGACCGUCUAAAACAGUUAAGCUUGUUACAGACUCACGAUCUUAUUCUCAAAUCAGGUAGGACUACCCGCUGAACUUAAGCAUAUC